GCCAUAGUAUACUAUGUUGAAAAAUGUCAUUUUUCAGCACGUUGUGAAAUCAUGCCAUGUGAUGAAAUAAUGUAAAGCAGGCUGUGAAAAACACUCCAGAAAGGUUUUCUUUGAAAAAAAAAAAUCAUCAUGAAUUUUGGCGCAAAAACAUGCCAUAGUAUACUAUGUCAAAAGAAAAUGCGAUUUUUCAACAUGUAAAAACAUGCCAUAUUAUGACAUAAUGUAAAGGAGGCCGUGAAAAACACUCCAGAAAGGUUUUCUUUGAAAAAAAAAAAACAUCAUGAAUUUUGGCGCAAAAAAACGCCAUAGUAUACUAUGUCAAAAGAAAAUGCGAUUUUUCAACAUGUAAAAACAUGCCAUAUGAUGAAAUAAUGUAAAGUAGGCCGUGAAAAACACUCCAGAAAGGUUUUCUUUGAAAAAAAAAAAUCAUCAUGAAUUUUGGCGCAAAAAAACGCCAUAGUAUACUAUGUCGAAAAAUGUCAUUUUUCAACAUGUUGUGAAAACAUGCCAUAUGAUGAAAUAAUGUAAAGCAGGCUGUGAAAAACACUCCAGAAAGGUUUUCUUUGAAAAAAAAAAUCAUCAUGAAUUUUGGCGCAAAAAUACGCCAUAGUAUACUAUGUCGAAAAAUGGCAUUUUUCAACAUGUUGUGAAAACAUGCCAUAUGAUGAAAUAAUGUAAAGCAGGCUGUGAAAAACACUCCAGAAAGGUUUUCUUUGAAAAAAAAAUCAUCAUGAAUUUUGGCGCAAAAAAACGCCAUAGUAUACUAUGUCGAAAAAAAAAUGCGAUUUUUCAACAUGUUGUAAAUACGUGCCAUAUGAUGAAAUAAUGUAAAAGAGGCCGUGAAAAACACUAUGGUAAGGUUCUCGUUGAAAAAAAAAUUUAUGAAUUUUGGUGCAAAUAAACGCCAUAGUAUAUACUAUGUCGAAAAAAAAUGCCAUAUUUCAACAUGUUGUAAAAACGUGCCAUAUGAUGAAAUAAUGUAAAGUAGGCCGUGAAAAACACUCCAGAAAGGUUUUCUUUGAAAAAAAAAAUCAUCAUGAAUUUUGGC
ensembl:lncRNA